GACGAACGCUGGCGGCGUGCCUAACACAUGCAAGUCGAGCGAGAAUCUUACGACGGAUUCCUUCGGGAUGAAGAUGUAAGAGGAAAGCGGCGGACGGGUGAGUAACGCGUGAGUAACCUGCCUAUCAGAGGGGGACAACAGUUGGAAACGACUGCUAAUACCGCAUAACAUAUUUUUAUGGCAUCAUAGAAAUAUCAAAGAUUUAUCGCUGAUAGAUGGACUCGCGUCCGAUUAGAUAGUUGGUAGGGUAACGGCCUACCAAGUCGACGAUCGGUAGCCGAACUGAGAGGUUGGGCGGCCGCAUUGGGACUGAGACACGGCCCAGACACCUACGGGAGGCAGCAGUGGGGGAUAUUGCGCAAUGGGGGCAACCCUGACGAAGCAACGCCGCGUGAAGGAUGAAGGUUUUCGGAUCGUAAACUUCUUUAAGUGUGGAAGAAAUUGGCGGUGCACACAGAAUAAGCCGCGGCUAACUACGUGCCAGCCGCCGCAGUAAUAC
rnacentral:rRNA from 1 species